rnacentral:rRNA from 1 species
CACAACCUGGUUGAUCCUGCCAGUAGUCAUAUGCUUGUCUCAAAGAUUAAGCCAUGCAUGUCUAAGUAUAAGCAAUUAUACAGUGAAACUGCGAAUGGCUCAUUAAAUCAGUUAUCGUUUAUUUGAUAGUACCUUACUACUUGGAUAUCCGUGGUAAUUCUAGAGCUAAUACAUGCUUAAAAUCCCGACCUCUGG